CAAGGUAAAGCUUAACAGUUAAGCAUCUCACUUACACCGAGAAGACAUUCGUGCAACUCGAACUACCUUGA
rnacentral:tRNA from 1 species